CAACUACUAACUUGUUGGAUCUCGAUUCAUGGCUAUUGGGGAGUCCCGCCUCGUGGCUGGGGGGUUGGUAUUGGUAGGGGUGAUUGGGGAGCGAAAAAAAUCUUGCAGUUCUGGAUGUAAUUUGGCGCGAGUGGCUUCAUGAUUGGGCUCCCGAUGGAUCCGUCCCUGUUUUUCUAUACAUGUGGGAUUUCCAGACAAGGGUACUCCAUACAACGCAAUUACAAUUCAUGAUAGGAUGUGUUGAAUCCAUCCAAGUUGGGACACUAGAAAAGGGAGAUCUCCCGUUUCUUCAGUUGUCUGAGUAGGCCAACGCAAUGCAACAAUUCAGUUAGUGCGCUAUUUUUCGUUCAUAAUCAGUGUUUGCAAAAAAGGAGAUCUUCCGUUUCUUCAGGGAGCUCCUCAACAUGCAUUCUCUCUAGACCAAGCGAAUGGGUGGAUGAUGUCUGAUCCCUCUAGGUUUAGUUUUGUCUCAAGUCAUUUGAAAUCGAGAUAUGAAAUUGAGCAGCUUUUGUCUGGCUCCGUGCUUCGUGGUAGUCUUAUGCAGGUUACAUAACUUUUUUGGUUUCUCCGCUGUGCUGUGCAGGUUUCUUAUCUAUUUUGGUUGCUACUUAAAAAAAAAUACUGUCAUUAGUUUGUCGUAAUAUUAAACAUGUGAGUAUAGGUUCUUUUUUCGAGAGGGAAAGCUCAUAUAUUACUCAUAACCAAGGUUUACAUCAUCUUUCUUCUCUAGAUCAACGAUAACAUAUGGCACUAGUUCAAACCAGCGGUUACACACACCUGAACUACUAGUUUGUUUGGCAAGUGAGUGAGCUACAGAGUUGAGCUUUCUCCUAACAUUUGAGACAGAGCAUUCACGGAACAGAGUUUUAGCUUCAGCAAUACCCUUGUAAAUACUCCAUAUAUGUGAUUGGUUUGGAGCAGAGCUAGCAGAAGCUACCACUGUCACGGAAUUGUACGACUCCAGCGACAGAUUCGUAAGCUUCAAACUUAGCAUCAAAGGUUCUUUAGAUAUUAUAUUUCAGUCGUCAUUGCACACUUUCAUAGCUUACAUUAUGUUUUAACCCUAUAUUAUACUUUGAUAUAUGGUGCGGCAUAACACUCCAUCGUAUUAGCUUAACGUGCAUAACUCUCCUUCCUGCAAAAAAAAAACUCCACAACAGAUCAUGAUGCCCACAAUCUGUUUGAUCGGUGCUCAAUUUCAUCUGAUGUUGCAUUUUCUUGUGGAGCGAAAUGAGUAGAGUGGUGCACAUCACCUGCUAAAUUUUACUUUGUGUUUCAUCUUCUAGCUUAGUUGGCUACCGAAUCAAAAUAAGUUGGGUCAUGAAUAUAGUUAAGUUGUUUACUGAAUCUAACUAAGUUGGCUUCUCAACCUAUACUUUUUUGGUUUAUUUAUGUGUUCAUCUUCUAGUCUACUUGAUUUGUCGAAUGUAACUAAGUUGGCUUCUAAACACAUAGUUUUAAAGCUGGUCACUGAACCUAACUAAGUUUGGCUCCUCAACCUUUUAUGUGUUUUCAUCUUAUAGGUUAGUUGGUUACUGUAUCUUACUAAGUUGUCUUAUGAAACAUGGCUAAGUUUGGUUACUGAAUCUAAAUUUUUAACUUUUUCUCAACAUUUUAAACUAUGUUUUGUUUUCGUGUCUCGUCUUCUAGGUUAGUUGGUUACUUAUAAUUAAGUUGGCCUCUGAACACAAUUAAGGUUGGUUACUAAAUCUGGUUAAGUUGCAUACUAACGUGAACAUAGUAGUUUUCUCACAAUGAAUUGAAAUCUCUCCCUUUUUCAUUGCAAAUGUGAGGUUAAGUUGGCUUCUGAACGCGACUAAGUUUGAUUUCAUCUUCUAGUUAUGUUAGGUUACCGAAUCAAACCAACUAUCUUUGUGUCUCAUCUUCUAGGAUAGUUGGUUUUUGAAUUUAAUCAAGUUGGCUUCUCAACAUGGCUAAGUUUACUUAUUUAAUCUGCCUAAGUUGGCUAGUCAACAUUUUAGCUUUAGGUUUAUUCUUUCAGUCUCAUCAUCUAGGAUAAUUGGUCAUUGUUUUGUGUUCUUUUUUUGGUAAAAACUUUGUUCUUGCUGAUCUGGGGAAGUUGCAUGUUUCAGUCAUGUGCUUGGAUCCAUGGAGAUUUGGAGGAAGAACAAGUACUAGAUUUGUUGAUAUUUGUGCUAGAAGGAGAGAGGGAGAGGGGGUACGGUGGUAAUUAUUGGGCUAGUGAAGGGGCGGCACACUAUGGGAAUCUUAGUUUUAACAUGUUGGAAACCUGGCAGUGUCAAAUUUGUAAUCACAAACCUGGGAUAUGUUUCUUACUCUUUUUUUAUGGGGUAGUAUGCAACUAUGUAAUAUGUAUGCAGCUUGAUCCUGCUCACUUGAUGCAGGUAUGCCACUAACUUGUAACUACACUUCAGCUAAGUUGCCUGAAGUUUCAGUUUUGUUUUUUUCCCUAUGGGAAUCUAUGGGGUAGGUACAACUAAAUUUCUGGGUAUUAACCUGGAAUUUUGCAUGAUCUAAGUUGCUGAUCCUUUCUUAUUUUGUUGUUGUGUUACUUGCAUCGAUAUAAUCUACAAUAAAACAAGUUGCUUAACUUAUAUGAUUUGUUAGUACCCAUGUAUGUUAUUAUUUUUGUUCCUAAUAUCCCAAUUGUAUGUAAAAUCCAGUCCUUGUCCCAGGUUGGUCAAAGCUAAAGAGCUAAGCUGUCGUAGAUUUUUAUAAGCGAUUUUCAUGUGUGUAUCCUAUUUGUUUUUUACUAGUGUUGUUUUAUUGGUUUUAGUACUGCCUUUACUAGUUCUUAUUGGAGAUCUAAGUUGCUCUAAGUUCUAGGUUUGGUUUUUGCAAGCAAAAUAGUCCAGAUUUGUGCCUGGGGUGUUUCAGUAGGUUCUAUCCCAUGGUCUAACUGUUGUUCUUUUAGCUAUACAACAAAUGACUAAAGAGGAUGCCAAUCGGUCCUCCGUGCUUGUUUUCCGCCGUAAUUAGCUUCUUUGUAAGCCCUACAACAACAUCUACCAUCAUUCCUAGGUGUUACCGAGGGAGUAUUGGCUAACAUGUUUUUUUUUGCACAAAAUAGCUAAAAGAAGGUGUUGGUGCCACCAUAAGAGACGGUCUUUUUGUUGGGAUGACGAGCACUGAAGAGUUUGUAUCUUCAAACUUACCAUGGAGCUUUUUCCAAUGAGACCUGAGGAGCAACUCACUUGCUAGCGGGAGCAACUCCAAUAUACUCAAUGAAAUCAGUGCAUUGUGUGCAACUGAAAAUUGUGUUUGCCUGAACUUGGAGGUGCUCCAUGGCGAUUCUUGGAGAUACGGAGGAGGGAGAAGAGCUAGAUUAGAGAGCUAGAUUAGUUUGUCUCUGCACAAGUAUCUUGGGGAUAGGGGAGGAGGGCGAGAGAGAGAGGGCUUCCGUGGUGGUUGUAUUUUUGGCGCGCUGGGUUUGGUCGGCCAUGCAAGGCUGUCAGCCACUUUUACUGACGUGUUUGCGGUGGUUGGUACGUACAUUGAUUGAGUGCUAGGUCAAACAAACCAGCACCCGGAUGCUGGGAUUGAAAAACCAGCACCGGAUGCCACCUAGCCGGGUCCAAUUCUAAACAUACAUUGUGUUGUAUCUUGUGUAUCUGUGAAGUUUCAUCCAAAAAAUGAGAGUUUCCCCUGUC